rnacentral:lncRNA from 1 species
UCAAAUAGCCCCACACACGAAUAAUGCACUCGGUCGACCACCAUAGAAUCACUAACCGGUGUGGAAACGUACAUAGAAAUACCCAAAGCGUCACUAGGCAUGAUCAAAUAGGGUGCAAAAUAAGAUGACACAUAAGAGUACAUAGAUCCUGGAUCAAAUAAUACUAAAACACCUCUAUCACAGACUAGAAUAGUACUGGUAAUCAUAACAUCUAAGGACUCGGCCUCCGGACUUGCCGGAAAUGCAUAACAACGGGGCUGGCCCCCACCUUCCUGAACUGUGUCUCUAAGACAAUCUGAUGCAGGCUGAUCCCUUCCUCUGGCUAUCCGAGCUCCACCUCUACGGUCUCUCCCUCCACCUCUAUGAUCCCUACCCCCGCAUCUAGCUCGCUGGGCGGCCAGUGGAUCACUUGCUGUCUAAAUCGUAGGGAGAGGACCCUGAUGCUGAGAACUAAUCGAGGCUCGAGGGAAACACCUAACAAUAUGACCUGGGUCACCACAACUAUAACAUGCCUUCGGCUGCUGAGUCUGCUGGCCAUGUCGACUUGUAAUGGUUGGGCGGUUUCUGGAUCACCUGGUGCAUGAAUCGUUGGGAAAGGACCCUGCUGCUGUGAACUACACACUGCUCGAGGGCAAAAACUAAAAAUAUAACCCGGGUCACCACAACCAUAACAUGCCCUUGGCUGCUGAGACUGCUGGCCCUAUCAACCAGUAUGUCAUCCCCUAAAGCUAUGAAGUGGCGGUGCACUGAUGGGGGCUGGUGGUGCGCUGAAGGACUGCUGGUCCGAACAAUACUGCUGAGGACCACCACCGUCUAGAGUACCAUGAGAAACCUAAAGUGCCGACUGGACGGGCCUCGGGGGAUGGCCUCUGUCAUAGGAAUCCUUACCUCCAGAUGAGGUACAACUAAAUCUACCGGAAUGUCGUGGCCUCUUGUCUGAACCCUGACUACCUCCUCGAACCAGUGCCAUCUCUACCCGGUAGGCUGCAUUGGCCGCCUCCUGAAAGGAAAUAUCACUGCCAACUCCCAUGGCCAUCUGAAUGCGGAUCGGCUGAAUCAAUCCAUCAAUGAACCUUCGGACCCUCUCUCACUCUAUAGGGAGUAACACAUCUACAUGGCGUGCAAAGUCAAUAAAUCUGGACUCAUACUGUGUAUCUGUCAUAGAGCUUUGAUGGAGGCGCUCAAAGUGUCUGUGAAGUGCCUCCCGCUGAGUGACGAGGAUAAACUUCUCCAAGAAUAACUCCGCAAACUAAUCCCAUGUCAAAGAUGGAGACCCUACUAGUCUAGAUAGGCAAUAAUCUCUCCACCAAGUCUUGGCAGAUCAUGUAAUCUUGAAGGUGCAAAAGUUGACCCCAUCGGUCUCUACUAUACCCAUAGUCCUAAGGAUCUUAUGACAACUGAAUAGAAAAUCCUGGGGAUCCUCCUAUGAAGCACCGCUGAAUGUGGUGGAAAAAAGCUUGGAGAGCCAAUCAAGUUUCCACAAAGCAUCUGAAGACAUGGCCGUCCCAUUUCAGGCCUGAGCAUUAAUACUUGUCUGAGCUGCCACUGCGGGCUGAACCACUGGAACCUGAGUCCCGAGAGCUACCUUCUUCGGAGUUCGUGUGGCAGGAGUCCGAACCCCUCCUCCGGCUUGAAGUGGAUGGUGCUACCGGCAGCAAACCCGCUCUAGCGACACUGUCCAUAAAGCUUGC